rnacentral:rRNA from 1 species
GAUGAACGCUGGCGGCGUGCCUAAUACAUGCAAGUCGAGCGAACAGACGAGGAGCUUGCUCCUCUGACGUUAGCGGCGGACGGGUGAGUAACACGUGGAUAACCUACCUAUAAGACUGGGAUAACUUCGGGAAACCGGAGCUAAUACCGGAUAAUAUAUUGAACCGCAUGGUUCAAUAGUGAAAGACGGUUUUGCUGUCACUUAUAGAUGGAUCCGCGCCGCAUUAGCUAGUUGGUAAGGUAACGGCUUACCAAGGCAACGAUGCGUAGCCGACCUGAGAGGGUGAUCGGCCACACAGGAACUGAGACACGGUCCAGACUCCUACGGGAGGCAGCAGUAGGGAACCUUCCGCAAUGGGCGAAAGCCUGACGGAGCAACGCCGCGUGAGUGAUGAAGGUCUUCGGAUCGUAAAACUCUGUUAUUAGGGAAGAACAAAUGUGUAAGUAACUAUGCACGUCUUGACGGUACCUAAUCAGAAAGCCACGGCUAACUACGUG